CGCAGACAGAAAUGCUUGUGAAUCCUCACCUCGUGAAUGCAGGUUUUCUGAGACUGAGUACAUUCAUCUGAGCUGUUAGCUGCUACGCUCCACCGCAUCCCUGUAUGAUCUGCCUAGGCUUGGUCCCCCAGAGGAAAUUUCUGCAUGCAUACUGUAUAUGAACUUUAGAUAAAUAAAUAAACACGAGAAACAGCUUCCAGAUAAUUGAAAGCGAGUGAAGGAGGGAGCAAAAAGAAAACAAUUUCUCAGGGGAGAAGCAAGCUGAGGUGGCAGGUACAGCCUAAAUUCAGCCAAGGAAUUUUGGUUCUUCUGUACCUUCAUGUGAUUAUUGAAGCACACUGAGCUGUGGUAUCAACAUCUGUAUGGUACAAAUACUUUUUCAGUCCAGCUGGACUCAGCUGCAUGAUCUGUGACCUGAAAAGGUAUUCUGGUUGGGAGGGCCAGUGUCAGCGUGCGAGAUGACGGACAGAGAGAUGAAAUCUCAACACUGUACUCAGCCUGGCUGCUGCCUGUACCUGGGCCUUGCUGCACCAUUCCUUGAAUGCAAAGCAAUUCAAGGAAAAGAGUAACCUCUGUUACAUUAGAAAUCACACGUUUCUGACCCAGAAAGAGAGGAAUUUCACAGCCUCCCAGGACACGUGCUGGAGGGAGGAUUUCUGGAGCCUAAACCAGAGAAGCCCAGGAGAUGUUGGUGUGAAGGCUCACUGCAAGCAUCUGCUGCUUCUGGAGGAGGUCCUGUGGCAAUGCAUGUGCUCAGGAUGAAUAGAUUUCCUUCAGGAAACAUACCCUGGCCCCUGUCCACUGUUAGAUAGUUCGGAGUGAGGUGGUCUUCGCAGUGAUUAAGCACAGAUUUUGCAGAGAAGGGAGAAAGCGUUGUGGGCAAGGACCUGUGGACUGAAAGUCAGAGUAACUGUAAUGCAAUGCCAUCACCCCACCUCACAGCUCAGAGGCUUUGCACAUCUCAUGGGCUGCCUGGAGCCUACACAGUUCACAGAGUGGAAAAAGGAAUUGAAGAAGCAAAAAUAAAUAUUGAAUCACGUAAGAAUUAAAUAUCACCUAUUUAAAUAGCAAUUACGCCGCUAAAAACAAGAUCACCACACCUGUACAAGAAAAGACAAGCAAGCCCAAAACAUCUGUUUGCAUCCACCUGCCAAGCACCUGUUCCGCUGUUUCAAUGCCAUUUGAUUGCUGGAGAUGUAGAGGCUCUUGUGAGGCCGGUCGUCUCACAGGGAACUGUAUGCAGAAUCCAUCAGCUCCUCAUCACGAACUCAGUUGUUCUUUGAGACCAUCUCCCAGAGAUGAGGAAGAUGUGUUAAUCCAAAUGAAGAGACGCAGCCAAGCUUGGAGCAUCCUCUCUGCUGCUUCCCAAGUAUUUUCUCAGGUAUUAAAGUAGCACUGGACUCAAACUAAGAGGAGUGAUCAAACUAUCUGCUGAAGAACUCAAACAGGAGCCCCAGGAACUGGAAGCUGAACUUCAGAAUCACGAAGAGCACUGUCACAGCAUGAGAAAAAUCUGGAUGAAGACAUGAACUGGAGACAUGUCUACCACACUACAAGAAAUUGAAAGAAUACAAUCCCAUUUGACUCUAAAAAUCUUUCUAGGCUAAUUACCAGCUCACAAAGCAGAGAAAUUAAGGCAGAGAGGGCAUGUUCAUGAUGACAACCUUUACCCAUUAGCAAGCUUUGAGUUUUCCCAAGGCUGAAGACAGUUUAGCCCUGACAAAUCCAAUCAGUGAUAUGCAGGCGUAACCUCCAGAAAGAAGCUCAUAUUUUUAGGCUUCACAGGGCAAAAGAUGGACUGCAGUAGGUCACUAUUAAAAUAUUUGAAAUACAGCUUGGCCAGUGCUGAAAUGGCACAGUUGGCCUGAAGUCGCUUCAAGGUCUCCUGGCAUCUGAGUGUUUCCCCAGUGGCUUUGUGCAGUAAAGUGUUAACUUCUCCUGAGUGGUUAUGUAUUUAAGGCAGUAACUUUAAAAUAAGGAAUUGCAACCUUAGAGCAAAGCUGCUAUUUUGAGAAUUUUAAACCAUUAUUGACUCCUGUCAGAUCAGUUUCUAGACUUAUUGACUCAAGAAGUAAAUAUAGACUGAGAGAAAGCGAGGUCAAGUCAAUAUUUAUCUUGCAGAUCAAUACAUUUUGAUACUAACCAAAAAUUAAGCUCAAUAAAUGCAUAUAUUAUAUACAGCAAGGUUAGGAGAGAUCCAUUCAGAAAAUUUGUCAAUUUGAAAUUUCCCAAUGGAAUCUAACCUUUUGGAUUCAAUUUCCAUUAGAAAUUCUGUCCCUUUAAGGUUCCGUAAGUGACUGAUGACGAGCCCCCAUCACCCAAUCAGAUUUCCAGAUGAUAGUUGAAUAGCAGUGAAAGGAAAAGGAAAGAAAGAUGAAGUGAGAAAAAGUUGGUCACAGGAGCUCAAUCACGGCGUUAGGAGGAGGCAGACUCGGCAGUGAUUGAAAUACCUAAAAAGAAAAAAAGAAAACUGUUGGUUUCAUUGGAGCGAGUUUCGAGGUCUGUCUCUUUGUGCACAGUCCAAAUCUCAGACAGCUCAGCUCAGGGUUUGUACCAUCAGGAGAACGGAAGAGCUGGCAAGCUGAGACACUACCAGUACUUUGUGGAAACCGACAUAUGAAUUUGUUCUACAAAUGUGCCAGGGACACACUGAUCCAACAGUUAGAUCACUUCCAGAAGACACCGAGUUAGAUCUCCGAGUUCACUUCCAAUUGCUGACUACUACUAUCCAAUAAAAGAAGAUUUCUGCAUAAAGUAAACAAGUUGGAAACGUUCCGGGAUUUCAUCAACAACUUCCCAGUUUGACAACGAGACCCUCGUGACCCAGCAGCGAGUCCCAGUUCCCACCUGGGUGCCUCUGGAGAGUGACAAAUCUCUUGGAUGUGCUCUCACAUCCCAGAAGCACAGGCCAGGAACAUCUGUCUGUUCCUUCCCUUCCUUCAGACUGCCCCGAGGAGAAAGGGAGGCAGGCAAGUAAGGAUAUGAAAGGCAAACACUCAACUGGCCGUGUUACAUUAGCCAACUUAAAUAAUUCCUCUUGGCUGUGGAAACAGCCUUCCCAUCCAAAGCUGUCUUUUUUCUUUCUUUUUUUUUCCCCCCUUUUUUUCCCCCCAAAAAACCAAGAACAACUUAUUUCCAAUUUUGGGCAGCUUCCUUGGCUGUGGGCCAGCUCUCCCCACUGCCUCUCUGUGCUACUUCCCAACACCUCUCAAGUGACCUGACUGAGUGCCUCAGGGAUCAAACUUUACCGAACAGGAAAAUCAAAGUAUGCAAAUGAAGCUCGGGUUAUUACAUAUAUAAUGAUGAAAACGA